rnacentral:rRNA from 1 species
UACGGAGGGGGCUAGCGUUGUUCGGAAUUACUGGGCGUAAAGCGUACGUAGGCGGCUCAGUAAGUCGGGUGUGAAAGCCCCGAGCUCAACUCGGGGAGGCCACCCGAUACUGCUGUGGCUAGAGUCCGGUAGGGGAGCGUGGAAUUCCCGGUGUAGCGGUGAAAUGCGCAGAUAUCGGGAGGAACACCAGCGGCGAAGGCGGCGCUCUGGGCCGGAACUGACGCUGAGGAGCGAAAGCGUGGGAGCGAACAGG